UACCGAGUUUACAACUCCCAAACCCCUGUGAACAUACCUAUACGUUGCCUCGGCGGAUCAGCCCGCGCCCCGUAAAAAGGGACGGCCCGCCCGAGGACCCCUAAACUCUGUUUUUAGUGGAACUUCUGAGUAAAACAAACAAAUAAAUCAAAACUUUCAACAACGGAUCUCUUGGUUCUGGCAUCGAUGAAGAACGCAGCAAAAUGCGAUAAGUAAUGUGAAUUGCAGAAUUCAGUGAAUCAUCGAAUCUUUGAACGCACAUUGCGCCCGCCAGUAUUCUGGCGGGCAUGCCUGUUCGAGCGUCAUUUCAACCCUCAAGCUCAGCUUGGUGUUGGGACUCGCGGUAACCCGCGUUCCCCAAAUCGAUUGGCGGUCACGUCGAGCUUCCAUAGCGUAGUAAUCAUACACCUCGUUACUGGUAAUCGUCGCGGCCACGCCGUAAAACCCCAACUUCUGAAUGUUGACCUCGGAUCAGGUAGGAAUACCCGCUGAACUUAAGCAUA
rnacentral:rRNA from 1 species